rnacentral:tRNA from 1 species
GGGCCCGUCGUCUAGCCUGGUUAGGACGCCGCCCUCACGAGGCGGAGGUCCGGGGUUCAAAUCCCCGCGGGCCCACCA